UGAUUUUAAGGGUUUGGAUAGCAGUAUUUAAAAAUCAGAGUUACCUCCCUUUGUCAGUUUUAUUGUGUUUUGUGUGCAUUCAUGUGCAUUGACCCUGGGUCACUAUUUUUCCCUCUGAAAUGCUUUAAUUUCAUUGGAUUAGCCUCUGAUAAGAUAUCUGGUCAUUGUCUAGAUUGUCAUGUAUCUGAAAACAUGUAUUGAGCUUUUAUUUUAAGAAUAGUUGAAUUUAUAUUGGAUUAUUACAGACCUAAACAGAUCACAGUGUGUUUGUGUGUGUUUUUCUGGACUGAGUACUGCUGUAACAUAUGGUGCAUUUAGGUCCACAACCUGGAUGUGUUUUUACCAUACAUUAUGGAGACAGAUCUACCAAUAUUAAAAUAGUAAACUGUAUACAAUGGUAUGGCUCAUUGACCCACAAAGGAAUAACAAGAAGAACCCAUCCCCAUAAACGAUAAACACUUAUUAGUUAUACUGCCAAUUAUUACGGCAAAACAGUACAAACUAACAGAGUGACAAU
rnacentral:lncRNA from 1 species